rnacentral:rRNA from 1 species
UGUCACCUACGGGGCGCAGCAGUAGGGAAUCUUCCACAAUGGGCGAAAGCCUGAUGGAGCAACGCCGCAUGGGUGAAGAAGGUCUUCGGAUCGUAAAGCCCUGUUGUUAGAGAAGAAAGAGCGUGAGAGUAACUGUUCACGUUUCGACGGUAUCUAACCAGAAAGCCACGGCUAACUACGUGCCAGCAGCCGCGGUAAUACGUAGGUGGCAAGCGUUAUCCGGAUUUAUUGGGCGUAAAGGGAACGCAGGAGGGCUUUUAAGUCUGAUGUGAAAGCCUU